UACGGAGGGUGCGAGCGUUGUCCGGAAUCACUGGGCGUAAAGGGCGCGUAGGCGGCUGGGGAAGUCGGUGGUGAAAGCUCGUGGCUCAACUACGAGUCGGCCAACGAUGCUCCUCGGCUCGAGCACUGUAGAGGCAGGUGGAAUUCCGGGUGUAGCGGUGGAAUGCGUAGAGAUCCGGAAGAACACCGGUGGCGAAGGCGACUGCCUGGACCAGCACUGACACUGAGGCACGAAAGCGUGGGGAGCAAACAGG
rnacentral:rRNA from 1 species